CCAAAACACACACUAACACUAUUGCUCUGCAGCCCCCUUUUAAGGAGGAGAAAUGGGCUCGUUAAUAAAGAUUGUAGCCUCCAGCAGCAGGCUUCCCCGCUGUCUCAUCCCAUCAUCACGUGCCUUGGUGGCUACUCAUCAACGCUGCUUCUGUAGCACCACCACUAUCAACGAUGAUGGUCGCGGUUUUAAGAAUAAUCUCCUCCGUGUUCGUAACGUUGCCGUUCAUAGGAUGUCUAACUUCAUAUACGAAAAUAUAAUGAAUUGAUUCGGGCUAUUCAACGAGAGGGCUUAUUGUAUAAAAGCGACAGUAAUUGCGCCAACAGACGUGGAAAACGAUGAAUGUCUCUGCUGCUACUUAGAAAUGAAAGGAGUCAUUUCCC